GGGGAUGUAGCUCACUAGUACAGCACGUGCUUUGCAUAUAUGAGUCAUUGGGUUCCAUCCCUGGCAUCUCCA
rnacentral:tRNA from 1 species